GUUUUAAGUAAGUUUUAAUAAUAAGUUCAUUUGCUUUAAACUGACAAAUCAGUCAUUUUCUACUCUCAUGUUGCUCUCAAAACUUUGUCCGGUGGAAUUAUUAUAGAAAUGUAUUAUAAGAAAUAGUUUUCCACAUUAUGAAAAUGAGUGAUGAACAAGUUCAGUUGCCGUUUAUUUAGAAACUAUUUGCACUUAUAUAGAGAGUUACUAAGUUAUUAAAAAGUGUUUCCUUAUGCCCAUACUUCUUAUCUCAUCUCGCCUAGGGUUUCAAGUGUGCCAGGACUUUAAGACAAUAGAUGCCCCUGUUCAAAACUGGUUCCAAGAAUUAAUGUUUUGUGCUGCUCAUUGUAAAUUCUGAGAAUCAAAGUCACUGAACACAUGUAUGUGCACGGGGUUUCUUCCUCUCAUUUUCUACACACUAGCACACACACUCUCUGCACAGAGUCUGUUCAUGUAAACCUUCUCCCCUUCCCCCCAUGUCUCUCUCCCUUUCUGUCCCCCUCGUCCUCCCCUCCCUCUCACUCUCACUUACAGCCUGUGAGCACUAUUUCAAGCCUCCAUCAGAAGGAGCGAAGGAGUGCGAGUCACAGAGGUCGGGGGGAGGGGCCGGCAGACAGGAUUUGGAGUUCAAGUGCAUGUGGAGAAAAUGACCUGGAAGACAGUGAGACAGAGAGCGGAAUGGGAAUGCGCAGGCUAGAAUAUCCUAUUUUUUCCAGGCAUAGUUUUUGCCCUGGAAUAAAAAAGGUGAGAUUGAAAAAAACAAAAAAACAUGCACCCUCUCAAAAGAGCAAAUGAAAGAAAAUCGAACGCCGGGAGAUGAGAGCGGAGGACAAGAAAAUGUAUUCCGGCCCCCUCCCCUGAACUCUCGGCUACGGCUCACUCCUCCUCCUUCCCUCCCUCCUGUGAACCCCUUAGCCUCUCUUUUCUAUCUAUCGUUCCCUCUCUGUCAUUCUCUCCCCUCCCACCUCCUCAUGCGGUCGCUUGCAUACACAUGCGCCCUUACGAUCUCGCUCUCUUUUCCUCUCUCUCCGCCGGCUGCAGUGCUUCUCUUCUCAUCCUUGCAGCCUGGCAGCUUCAUCCGUGUUCCUCCCUCCUAGAUGGAGAAACACGCACAGCCUUUCCAAUGGUCCCCCCACCCCUCUGCGUGCCUCCCUUAAAAAAACCCCCAGGCCCCUUAAACAGCUCCUUUUCCUACUUGUCUCGGUGCCUGAUCACCAUUCGCUCUCCUUUGCACUUCACUUACAUUCUUAUUUUUUCUCUUUUUUUUCCGUUAAAUAAUUUGCCAGCUCUAUCCCACAAAUUUUCACAUUCAUAAUGUGAAAGCAGUUCAGAGUGCAGAAUGAACAGUAGGAAAUGGGAUGGGUAGGAGGAAAAAACGCUAAGAGGAGAGAAGUGACUGGGAUAGCGGAGAUGAGGAAGGAUCCGGAGCAACGGGAGAAAGAGCCGAACGUGGGAUCAACGAAACCGCGGGAAAAGGAGGAGGAACGACCAGACUGAUCUCAGUUCUUAUUCAGCUGGAAGAAAUGCCAGUUACAUAAAGAAUGCUGUGGAAAUACAGUUUGGAAUCAUCAUUGUUACUCGUUCUUCAAGACCGGAAUGAUGGAAAGAAUUUCAGCAUGUACGACUAAAUAUCAUUUGGAACAUCAUGUGGGUCGCAACCUCAGAAGAUUUGGAGACGGCACUCGAUUUGAAGAUUUGGAGAAGAAACCGUCAUUGUGAGAGUGAUGCAUUUACUUUUUUUGUCAAAUGACAAAGGAAAGACGGAAGGUAAAGAAGUGUCGUCAUCCGAGAUUAGUAUGCGGCUACUUCUACUCCACGUUACCUGAAACGGCACCCCAGAUUUCCAGACAUCCGUGAUAUCAGCUUCAGACCACUUUGACGCAGCUGUCGGGGAUGGUACCCAUUGGCUGACUUUGUGCCCUGACCACUCGGAGCGACCAAUCCAAAGUCAGCCUAGGUUCACGACCCCUAUACAUUUCUCCCGAGGCUUUGAUGCGAAUCUGUUCCAUGAAACCAUUUUACGGGCUAGCCUGCCAUCUUGUGCUCAUUAUUGUCAAACAUUUUGGUGAUGGAUAUUGCCCCGGAGCGGCUCAUAUGAGACAUGGUGUUUUUAUUCUUUUUCUGCAGUAAAGAUAAUUAGAUUUUAUAGCGUGAGACAGCGUGAACUUUUAAGAGAAUGUAUAAGCGUUGUUUGUUUUUCAAUUAGAUACAGUUUGGUACUAUAUCUGUAAAAUAUGUAGGCAGUAUGAUUCAUUACAAGAUUCAUCAAGUAUAUCAUUAGUAUUAAAAUAUAUCAUAUGGAGCAUAUUUUUCUUAUGUGUCCAUUAUCCAAUGCAUUCAUUUACAAUUUUUGCAUAACCUGAAAUCACAAAAUCUGAUCUAAAACCUUAUACAGUGACCUGAAAAUCAAAGCAAACUCGUGGAUAAUCCUUGACCGUAUUAUAUAAUAUGCAUCACAUUUUCUCCCAACCAUAUGUUUAUGUCUUUUGUUCUACUCAGCGCCUCAAGCCAUGAAACUAAACCAUUAUGAUUAAGUUAUGUGCAACCCAGAGACUAUCUGGAUCUGAGUAGGCAAAGAGAGACUGUCCCACUCCUUUCUGCUGGUGCUUUGAGACAUCAGAUACAGAACAUCAACCUCCACCAUCUGGUAUGCACUAAGCAGUGGAUUCAUUAAACAGCUAUACCAGAAAACUGUUUCACAACAAUGCAAAAGAACUGAUGAGACUGAGCAUUGAAAUCAGCAAGUGGUCUCCUAAAUGGUCUCCUUCAGACAAACAAGGCGGGGUGCCAAAUAGCCUUUUUUAUUUAGAGCAUAUGUUCAUUUUGAAAGCUCCUCACCAUUAUCAAGCAUGAACUGGUUUGAAUAUUUGACUAUGUUUUGCAUAAAGCAAAUGGUUCUUUAACAAAUGUCUUGUUUUAAUGGCUAAGGCAGAGAAAAUAUACAAUUGCAGAUGGUGUUUGGGAAGAUGAGGAACUCUCUGAGUGAGAUGAGGACCAUACAACCUCAUGUUUUUCUUCACUUAGGGCCUGAAGGACAUUUCCCAGCUCUCAGUACUAGAGUUUCUCACCAUUAUAGUGAACCUAAGCACCUGUAAUAGACUAGGCUAGUUAUUUUCACUUUACAAAUCUUAAAAAUGAUUUCAGAGCUUGUAUUCCAGAGUGCUUUUCUACACUAGGAUGUGCUGGAUGGACUUACUGUCAUAACAGGAUACAAAUUUAAUCAAGUUAUUUGAUAGAAUAUCAGCCAAUUUGCAUUUCCUCGUUCAUCCUCAUACAUUUUAAUGGGUAACAUACAAUAAAGAAAAUCAAAUUAUAUGUACAUUUGUCUUUUGUUGAAUUAAAUGUUAUACUUGUAUUG